UUUUCUUAUAACGCUGUUGCU
ensembl:piRNA 21ur-5535 ncRNA